AGUGAACGCUGGCGGUAGGCCUAACACAUGCAAGUCGAACGGCAGCACAGUAAGGGCUUGCUCUUACGGGUGGCGAGUGGCGGACGGGUGAGGAAUACAUCGGAAUCUACUUUUUCGUGGGGGAUAGCGUAGGGAAACUUACGCUAAUACCGCAUACGACCUACGGGUGAAAGCAGGGGAUCUUCGGACCUUGCGCGAUUGAAUGAGCCGAUGUCGGAUUAGCUAGUUGGCGGGGUAAAGGCCCACCAAGGCGACGAUCCGUAGCUGGUCUGAGAGGAUGAUCAGCCACACUGGAACUGAGACACGGUCCAGACUCCUACGGGAGGCAGCAGUGGGGAAUAUUGGACAAUGGGCGCAAGCCUGAUCCAGCCAUACCGCGUGGGUGAAGAAGGCCUUCGGGUUGUAAAGCCCUUUUGUUGGGAAAGAAAAGCAGCAGGUUAAUACCCCGCUGUUCCGACGGUACCCAAAGAAUAAGCACCGGCUAACUUCGUG
rnacentral:rRNA from 1 species